CAGAAAAUAGUUUAAUAAAAAUAUUAAUUUUGGAGAUUAGAGAUGGGGUAAUGACUUUUUCUGA
rnacentral:tRNA from 1 species